rnacentral:rRNA from 1 species
AUUGAACGCUGGCGGCAUGCCUUACACAUGCAAGUCGAACGGCAGCACGGGAGCAAUCCUGGUGGCGAGUGGCGAACGGGUGAGUAAUAUAUCGGAACGUGCCCAGUCGUGGGGAUAACGUAGCGAAAGCUACGCUAAUACCGCAUACGAUCUACGGAUGAAAGCGGGGGAUCGCAAGACCUCGCGCGAUUGGAGCGGCCGAUAUCAGAUUAGGUAGUUGGUGAGGUAAAGGCUCACCAAGCCGACGAUCUGUAGCUGGUCUGAGAGGACGACCAGCCACACUGGGACUGAGACACGGCCCAGACUCCUACGGAGGCAGCAGUGGGGAAUUUUUGGACAAUGGGCGCAAGCCUGAUCCAGCAAUGCCGCGUGCAGGAUGAAGGCCUCGGUUGUAACUAG